GGAGCAGGCCAAACGAUCGCUGGGUCAAUCAGUUUGACCCGGAGGAAAGUCCGAACACCACAGGGCAGGGUGCUCCAUAACAUGGAGUCGUGGCAACGCGAAGGAAAGUGCAACAGAAAGUAUACCGCCCGUCAGUCAGCUCCUAUCGGUGCGGAUGCAUCGAAGAAGACUGGAUUUCGGGUAAGGGUGAAAAGGUGCGGUAAGAGCGCACCAGUUCCUCGGGUGACCGGGGAAGCUUGGCAAACCCCACCCGGUGCAAGACCAAAUAGAGGAGUGCUUGAGGAUGGCCCGUCCAAGCUCCAGGGUAGGUCGCAAGAGGUGCCGGGCAAUCGGCAUCCUUAGAUGAAUGAUCGUUACCCGGUCCCGGGCAACCGGAACCGGGCACAGAAUUCGGCUUAUGGAUUGCUCCGGCC
rnacentral:RNase_P_RNA from 2 species